UAAGAGCUCAUCCAGUAAAAGAAACAUUACUCCUUCUGAAUUAGAAUUAAAAUUAAUAACAUAACUCUGAUGUCAAACUUGUUUAAGAAAGAGGAAUGACAUUUCAAUGUCUUCCAAAGAAAAAAAAGCAUGGCCCCAAGAAAUCGUGUCAUUAUGAAGAGUCUAAUAGAAGAAGCUGAGAGUCAUAGAUUCGUCUAAACACACAUUCUAGCUAUUUUCUUGUGGGAUUUCAUUGGAAAAACAACACUCCAUUUUUCAAAGAAACUCAUUUGAACAGAAGAGGCAACAAACUGUGGUUCUGUGUGGUUACCUGAUGGGGCUGUGUUCUGGGAAGUCAACCUGUACUGUUGCUUCAAGCUUGAACAAAGAGGAUGUAAAUGUGGAGGAUGUAGAAAAUGCAAAGCUUGUGGAAAGUUUUGCUGAAGAAAAUCUUUUAAAAACAGAUGACAAAAGCAUGUCAGGUGUUACUACCAAUGCAGAAUCAAGCAUUAUUAAUCCGAACAGCAAAUUAUAUUCAGGAGCAUUUGGAGAAAAGUUGGUGGAAUC